UAACAUAAAGAUGUGAAGGGCAGUGGCUGGUGGCUGUGUGCUGUUUCUGUUGUUUGUAAACAUGAAUAGCUUCAUAAUGUGUUUAUGUAUUGUGUUCCAAGCUGUUUGCAAAAAUGACACGUAUUUACAGGAGCUGGCUUUUGGAAUAUUCUGUGGUGAAAGAUUUGUAAUUAAGGCAGUUACGAACACUGUAUUUCAUAAGAGGGACAUGCGCUGAAACUGUUGUCUGAAGACAUCCCGAGCUUGGUACACUGCAGAGCCUUGGUAUUGUGUUUGCACUUUGGGAAUUUCGGUAGAUUCUUUGGCACAUACCUGGGAAAGAGUAA